rnacentral:lncRNA from 1 species
CCGAAGAAUUAAAGAAGGACCAGAGAUUUUGUCCUAGCACACGAAAAGGUAAGGUCAAAAGGUGGGGUCGCAAUGAGAUGGAAAGAGGUGAAAAGGGUGACUCAAAGUCAUGAAUGAGAUGAGUGUAUAUAGGUCAUGGACAAGAUGAACGACUCUGGGUCUAAAAUAGGAUGAACGACUCUAGGUCGAGAGCCCUAGGCUCUAAAUGGAAAAGAAAUGACUCUAGGUCGUAAACGGAAAACAACUCUGGGUCGAGGGCUCCAGGCUCUAAAUAGGAAAGAAUGACUCUGGGUCAAAAUGGAGAGUGACUCUGGGUCGAGAGCUCCAAGCUCUAAAAUAGGAAAGAAUGACUCUGGGUCAAAAUGGA